CAAACCAAAACCAACUUCUAAGAAAAAAAUGAGGUCCCUAAUGGCCUCUGCUUCUCUCACUCUUGCAUUAGCCAUCCUCUUUUUGAGUUUCCCAUCUGAAAUUUCAGCAAACAAAUACGCAUAUUCCUCUCCACCACCACCACAUUACUCAUCUCCUCCACCUCCACCGGUUCACACUUACCCUAAACCAGUCUACCACUCUCCACCACCACCAGUUCACACCUACCCUAAACCAGUUUACCACUCUCCACCACCACCAGUUCACAAGUACCCUCACCCUAAACCAGUAUACCACUCUCCACCACCCCCAGUUCACAAGUACCCUCAUCCACACCCAGUCUACCAUUCUCCACCACCCCCAGUUCACAAGUACCCCCAUCCUCACCCAGUGUACCACUCUCCCCCACCACCACCACCAAAGAAGUCCUACAAAUACCCAUCUCCCCCACCACCACCAGUUCACACCUACCCUAAACCAGUCUACCACUCUCCUCCACCCCCAGUUCAUCACACCUACCCUAAACCAGUCUACCACUCUCCUCCACCCCCAGUUCACACCUACCCUCACCCUAAACCAGUCUACCACUCUCCACCACCCCCAGUUCACACUUACCCUAAACCAGUCUACCACUCCCCACCACCACCAGUUCACACCUACGUCCCUCACCCUAAGCCAGUCUACCACUCUCCACCACCACCAGUUCACACCUAUCCCCCACAUGUUCCCCACCCAGUUUACCAUUCUCCUCCUCCUCCAGUUCAUUCCCCACCUCCACCACACUAUUACUACAAAUCACCUCCUCCACCUUACCACAACUAGAUAGCCCAUAAUUGGCAUCACACCAUAUGGUAACUUUUCAUGCAACAUAUAUAUUAUAACUUUUCAUAUUCUCUCUUUAUUAACUAGUUAUCGGUAUGAUUGUCGAGUAUAUACUAACAAGGCUAAUUUGAAAUGAAACUUCAUGUGCAAUGAAACAUUCUUUUACUGGUUAAUAUUUUAUUCUAUGUUUCAUUGAAAUUAAUAUUUUUCUAAUAGUAUUUGGUUAUUAAGGGAUUAGAGUAUAUCAGACAUAAACUGACAGAUCAAUAUAUUUGCAUUUGUGUAGGAUCUAAAC
rnacentral:lncRNA from 1 species